rnacentral:rRNA from 1 species
AUGAACGCUGGCGGCGUGCCUAGUCCAUGCAAGUCGAGCGAACGGACGAGAAGCUUGCUUCUCUGAUGUUAGCGGCGGACGGGUGAGUAACACGUGGAUAACCUACCUAUAAGACUGGGAUAACUUCGGGAAACCGGAGCUAAUACCGGAUAAUAUUUUGAACCGCAUGGUUCAAAAGUGAAAGACGGUCUUGCUGUCACUUAUAGAUGGAUCCGCGCUGCAUUAGCUAGUUGGUAAGGUAACGGCUUACCAAGGCAACGAUGCAUAGCCGACCUGAGAGGGUGAUCGGCCACACUGGAACUGAGACACGGUCCAGACUCCUACGGGAGGCAGCAGUAGGGAAUCUUCCGCAAUGGGCGAAAGCCUGACGGAGCAACGCCGCGUGAGUGAUGAAGGUCUUCGGAUCGUAAAACUCUGUUAUUAGGGAGAACAUAUGUGUAAGUAACUGUGCACAUCUUGACGGUACCUAAUCAGAAAGCCACGGCUAACUACGU